AUAAAAGUGAGAAAAAUUAUAACAACAUUACAACUUAAUUAAAUAAAAUUAUACAGUUUUCAUAAAAAAGAAAAACAUAAAAAAAAACUAUACCGAUUGUUGCAAUUAACCUAAAAUUUAGUUUUUCACAUAAUUGCUACUACUCCGUCUUUAAUUAUAAGCAAAUUUUCAUUUUUUCUUAUAAUUAAAUAUGGAGGGAGUAUACUUCCGAACACGAACAUAGACGAUCAAUGCACUGCCGAAUUAGAGGAGCAGUACACAAAUUUGCUGGGCAAUGGCCGGGUAGCUUGCAGGGAGUACUAGAACUUGUAAUUUCUAAUAUGAACAAAAAGAAAUGUUACUAAAUUGCGAUGAAAAAUAAGAUAAAUUAGAUAUUUGUAAAUAGUGUGAAAAAUGACUUACGACUAUUGGCUGCGAUAAUAAAUAGAGAAAGAAAUACAAUCAAAGUAUAAAUAAAGUAUGAAAUUUGAGCCAUAUUUGUUCUCCUUUGCUUGUAGUAAAUAAGAAAUUGUU
rnacentral:lncRNA from 1 species